rnacentral:rRNA from 1 species
UACGUAGGGUGCAAGCGUUGUCCGGAAUUAUUGGGCGUAAAGAGCUCGUAGGCGGUUCGUCGCGUCGGCUGUGAGAACCUGAGGCUCAACCUCAGGCCUGCAGUCGAUACGGGCGGACUUGAGUACUGCAGGGGAGACUGGAAUUCCUGGUGUAGCGGUGAAAUGCGCAGAUAUCAGGAGGAACACCGGUGGCGAAGGCGGGUCUCUGGGCAGUAACUGACGCUGAGGAGCGAAAGCGUGGGGAGCGAACAGG